rnacentral:sRNA from 1 species
CGUCCGGUCCGUCGGCACGUCGGCCCUGCCUCCCGGACCACCCUGCGGGGCGCACCAGCGAUCUGGAGUGCGGGGCUCGGCCUCCCUGCGCUCCUGGCUGACGGUGUGACCUUGGGACCGAGACGUGCAGCUGUCCAAGGCUCUGUCCUAUGCCCUGCGCCAUGGGGCCUUGAAGCUGGGGCUUCCCAUGGGAGCUGGUCCCCUUCAAAGGUUACAACACUUGUCUGGGGCCACCCCAUGUCCGGCAUGGAGCAGCACCCCUGCAUCCCCCAGCCCAGGACCCCAGUCUGCCCAGGUUGCUGACUGCACUCCAGGUGCCCAGGCCUCAGCUCCAGCUGUCUCUGCAGGCAUGCGGUCCCAUUGUGAAAUAGCUGUGUUCAUCGAUGGACCCCUGGCUCUGGCAGGGAAUACUGAUGGCUUCCUCCUUCCCAAGUACUUCAAGGAGGCCCUGCAGCUACGCCCUACCCGAAAGCCCCUUUCCUUGGCUGGUGAUGAAGAGACAGAGUGUCAGAGUAGCCCCAAGCACAGCUCCAGAGAAAGGAGAAGGAUCCAACAAUAAAAUAUUAAUUUAUAAAAAAGAAAUUUUAAAAAGUAACAAGAAA